rnacentral:tRNA from 2 species
AGGUAUUUAAUCUAAUCAAGAUGCUUGAUUUCGACUCAACCCAUCAUGGUCCUAACCCAUGAAUACCUC